rnacentral:tRNA from 1 species
GCCGCCGUCGGGGGUGGUCAGCUCCUCCUCGGCCUCCAGCGGCGACUCCAGCACGGCGGCGACCCGGGGGUCGCGGCUCUGCGGCGGCA